UACAGACCAUGCUGUGGAAGAAGCACAGUUUCAUCUCUCCUCAUGGUAGCAUCGCUGGCCUGAUCGCAGCGUGUACGGAUUGGUUGAUUUACCGGUAUAAGUUGACGUCAUCGGAGCGUGGACCUCUAACCAAUCGGCUGAGCGUAGGCGGCACGGUUUCAGCACUGCAAAGGGGGGCCUAGCUAUUUAAAAAAUGACAGCACAGCCGGGUGGAGGAAUCUGACUGGCCGAAUGACAAGGAGAGAAAUGGAAAUCUGUACCAUAUAACAUAUACCAUCAGAUCCUUUAUUCUGAUAAUCCCAAUCUGAAGGAAGCCAUAGAAAUCUUGCAAAAAGUAGAACGGGGACACCUGUACAAAUACGUAGGAUACACACAACUGAGCAGCAACUCCAAAAUUGAACCGGUAAUUCAUAUGGAUUAUGGAAUGAAAGAACAGAAUCCAAUAAACAACGUGCGCUUCUACUGCAAGUCUGAUCCUCGCAAGACAGUAAAGAUCAGAAGAGAUCAGUUAAUCCAGAGGAAGGCGAAAAAACCCAUUGCUCCAGCCGGAGAAUGGGGAAAAAAAUUUCCUUCCUGACUCCAAAUUUGGCAGUCGGACAAGUCCCUGGAUGUGCUGAUUUCUUACAACUAUUCGUCCUAUCCCUAUGUUAUUCAACUGCAAUAUCCUCAACUCUAAUCAUCCAAUCGUGUCAUUUAAUAGCCUAUACUAAUAAAUUUUAACCUUAUUUUC